rnacentral:lncRNA from 1 species
GCACAGAGGUAUAUUUUUAUAUUUAAUCUAUUGAUUAAAAUAUUAAUAAAAUAUUACCUCUUCAUAUAAGCUGCAGGAUGAUUUUCAAGCAAGAGAAGCAACUGUUAAGAAUGCACUUGCUCUAUUUUGUUGCCUCAUUAUAAGUUCAUGGCCAUUUUCUUUAUUCCUAUAGUGUGAUACUUCCCUUAUAAAGCAUUGCAUUCCAUUGAAGUCAUUUUGAGGAGCACCUUCUAAGGACAAGGUAUUAUGGGCACAGUAAAAGCUACUGGUUUUUGAGUACCUGACAUGUGCUUCUCUCUUUGCAAACAAGAUGCUAUGUUUUUCCUACUACAGUUCUACAGGAUAAUAACAUUAAAAAUAGCAUACAGAGUGAGUUAAGUCAGAAAGAGAAGAACAAAUAUCAUGUAUUAACAUAUACAUUAAUAUAUGUAAUCUGGAAAAAUACAGAUGACCCUAUUUGCCAGGCAGGAAUAGAGACACAGAGAACAUAUAUGUGGAUAUGGUGGGGAGGUGAGGGGGAUAAAGCUACUGGGAAGUUGCUGUACAGCAUAAGGAGUCAACUCAGUGCUCUGUGAUGACCCAGAGGGCUGGGUGGGAGGGAGACUCAAGAGGAAGGGGCUAUAUGUAUACAUAUGGCUGAUUCCAGAGAAGGCAAUGGCACCCCACUCCAGUACUCUUGCCUGGAAA